rnacentral:lncRNA from 1 species
CAGGAAGCCGCGAACGCCGCCGAGUGUCUGCACACCUCGCUCUGCCUGCCAUGGCUGGUUAAAGAACCAUCCGGAUCGCAGCGCGGGGGGAGGGCCGGGUGGGGGGAGCAGCGGCCGCGCGUGAGGCCGAGGGAGGGGCGGCGGCGCGAGCGGCGGCGGCGGCGGUUCCAGCAUGAAGAGGAGAGCUGGCCUGGGGGGCAGCAUGAGGUCAGUGGUGGGCUUCUUGUCCCAGCGGGGCUUGCAUGGGGACCCCCUGCUCACUCAGGACUUUCAGAGGAGACGCCUGCGGGGCUGCAGAAACCUCUACAAGAAGGACCUCCUCGGCCACUUCGGCUGUGUCAAUGCCAUUGAAUUCUCCAACAAUGGAGGCCAGUGGCUGGUCUCAGCUAUCCCCUUUUCCAGGGCACAGUGAGGCCAGCAGAUAUUGAGUAAACCGGAGAAAAUCAGGAAGGAGAAAAGGAGGAGAUGACCGCCGGGUUCUGCUAUGGCACAUGGAACAAGCCAUCCACUCCAGGGUCAAGCCCAUACAGCUGAAAGGAGAGCACCAUUCCAACAUUUUUUGCCUGGCUUUCAACAGUGGGAACACUAAAGUGUUCUCUGGAGGCAAUGAUGAGCAAGUUAUCCUCCAUGAUGUUGAAAGGUAAAUAGAUUGGUGGUGUGUGAAGGUGAUUGACUUUGUUUUUCAUAUAUGAAGAGGCAAAUAUCUCUUUAGACUAAAAUAGUUUUUGUUUUUUGA